GUCUACAGCCAUGCUGCUCUGAACAAGCUUGAUCCUGUCCGAUCUUGGAAGCUAAGCAGGGUCAUGCCUGGUUAGUACUUGCAUGGGAGACCACCUAGGAAGACCAGGUGCUGUAAGCU
rnacentral:rRNA from 1 species